UACGUAGGGGGCAAGCGUUGUCCGGAUUUAUUGGGCGUAAAGAGCGUGUAGGCGGCCAAGCAGGUCAGCUGUGAAAACUCGAGGCUCAACCUCGAGACGUCGGUUGAAACCGCUUGGCUAGAGUCCGGAAGAGGAGAGUGGAAUUCCCGGUGUAGCGGUGAAAUGCGCAGAUAUCGGGAAGAACACCCGUGGCGAAGGCGGCUCUCUGGGGCGGUACUGACGCUGAGGCGCGAAAGCGUGGGGAGCAAACAGG
rnacentral:rRNA from 1 species